UGAACCUGCGGAGGGAUC
rnacentral:rRNA from 1 species